CAGGGCGCUGCUGGCGGGGUCGGCGGGAGGGGGCUGCGGCGACGGCGGCAGGCGGCGGCGGGGUGCCCGCGGCUCGGCGCGGCGCGGCGCGGCUGGGCGGACAGCUCCCACCAUGGACGCCUAGGGCAAAGGUGUAAAUGAAAAAGGCAUCUGAAAUGCCUGAAGGUGCAAGUCUUCCACGAGACGCGUCCACAGUCUUCCCCGACUCACCAGUUAAUUGUGUUAAAGCUAAGUUCCUGAGCCAUGCUGAAAGUCUUUAGAAUUCUUUACAAGCUCUGGGAAAACAUAAAUAAGCAUGUUCUCUGUAUGGUAUGCUUACAUUCUCUGAGAUACCAGUAUUUUAUCUAUUUAGUCUAAUUUUGAACAAUUUUGUUUUCUAAUUAUAGAUAAAUCUUGUAGCUGAGCAACAGAACAUGUACCCUUUUAACUUGGAUUCUUUCUUUUCUGUCUUUUUUUUUCUUCUUUUUUUAAUGCUCCUUAAUGGCCCAUGUUAUAGCCAUGUGGUUGAACCACAUCUAAGUAUAGUACAAUUGCAUUUCUAAUGCACAUUGGCAUUAGCAACCACUUGCUUGUGUAAAGGGCCAAGACAUGCAUUUGAAAACACAG